UUAGAUGAUGAUACCCUUAAUUUAACAACGAAUUUCUUCACCUGAUAAUCCAUGAAGAGAAAAAAUUUUGACAGAGCUUUUUAACCCUGAUU
rfam:Pichia membranifaciens NRRL Y-2026 unplaced genomic scaffold PICMEscaffold_5, whole genome shotgun sequence.